CCCAGACAGCCAGGAUGUUGGCUUAGAAGCAGCCAUCAUUUAAAGAAAGCGUAAUAGCUCACUGGUCGAGUCGGCCUGCGCGGAAGAUGUAACGGGGCUAAACCAUGCACCGAAGCUGCGGCAGCGAACGUAUCACCCAAGACAACUUUGCGGAGUUGACGAUUGACGGAGCGAAGCGACGUCAAAGCGUUCAUUAAAGUCGAGUUGGCUUAGGGAUACGUUCGUUGGGUAGGGGAGCGUUCUGUAAGCCUGUGAAGGUGGCCUGUGAGGGUUGCUGGAGGUAUCAGAAGUGCGAAUGCUGACAUAAGUAACGAUAAAGCGGGUGAAAAGCCCGCUCGCCGGAAGACCAAGGGUUCCUGUCCAACGUUAAUCGGGGCAGGGUGAGUCGACCCCUAAGGCGAGGCCGAAAGGCGUAGUCGAUGGGAAACGGGUUAAUAUUCCCGUACUUGGUGUUACUGCGAAGGGGGGACGGAGAAGGCUAUGUUGGCCGGGCGACGGUUGUCCCGGUUUAAGCGUGUAGGUGUGUGUUCCAGGUAAAUCCGGUUCACUUUAACACUGAGGCGUGACGACGAGGCACUACGGUGCUGAAGCAACAAAUGCCCUGCUUCCAGGAAAAGCCUCUAAGCAUCAGGUAACAUCAAAUCGUACCCCAAACCGACACAGGUGGUCAGGUAGAGAAUACCAAGGCGCUUGA
rnacentral:rRNA from 1 species